UUUGAGUAUCUAUGUGAUUUCUAGCCCUGACUUACUUCAUACCUCUGUUAUGUCUAGGUAUAAAAUUUCUAUUAAAAAUAGCAUGGCCCUAGUGUCAGGCCUAUUGAAUUGUCUGAAUUAAUACAGAUCUUUGCUGAUGAAGUAGUGGAUAAGGUAGAUGAGUGUUCCUCUGACUUGCAAAUGUGAGCACUGUUUGGGCUUAUCCUUCUCUUUUUAUGCACUUCCUAAGUCAAAAGUUACUUUUAAAAAGUUACUACUUUAAUUGCUGGCAGUAGCUAAGUUCCUCCGGGUGCUGGGUGGGAAAGGGCGUGAAAAUCAUGUGCAGUGAUCAGCUGUAGGUGUUAAUGCUCUGUGCAUUAGCCAGGAGCAGCAGAGUGCUGCUAACAGGUGAAGGGAGUGGUAGCUCCCUAGCCAGUUUAAAUCCAUGCAGCAGGUAAUUACAGCUGCUGCUGACUCCCCUGGAGGAAAUGAGCUGCUUCCAGCUGUAAAUCAGGGCCGUUUGGUUUUAUUGUUUUUCUUGUUAUUUUUUAAUAGCUUAAUAUUUUAAUUAAGUUUUCCCCUACCUGUUUAUGACUCUCACCCUUUGAAUCUUCCUGUUAGUUCUUUGAGAGGUGUAGCUCAGGAGUUUGAGGCCCAAGUUAAACAGUGACCAGUAUGCUCAGCAGCAGAGGAAGGAAGGCGUCUACAGCAAAUUGGUUCUGUGGCUGUCAUGAGCAGAUUGUCCAGGCCCCAGACAUUGCCUUUUGUUCCAUUCCAUUAUCUGAGAACAACUCGGACUUCGAAUCUGAAGGCCCUGAAUUAGGACUGGCCAGCACCAUGAGAACACCAGGAAGCUGUGCCUGGAUUUCACUGUGGUGGCAGGAAGCAGAAGUCAGUAGAGGACCAACAGACUUGACUCAAGAGGAAGAAAUUAAGCAAGAAGUUUUUGUCUAUGUUCCUGAAAAUAGCUUGGGGGAUUUCUUCGUUGGUGACUGAUAUCAAAAUGAUCUGCUUACAAAUCUGAGAAUAACAAGUAUACCAGCAUUAGAAGAGAAAUAAAAAACAUGUGUGCCUAUUCUGUCA
rnacentral:lncRNA from 1 species